GACAGUAUUUUGUGUAUAUUAUAUAUAAUAUGUCCAUUUUAUUUUACUAAUGAAGCAAUAGUUAUAUAAUUUUUAUUUAUUCAUUGGUAAAUUAGGAAUAGGGACUUGACCGACUUAAAUGCUUCUUGCUACACUGUUAUUCUUAAUUAAUUUUGGGACUAUCAGUAAGUUAUGAUAUUAGAAAUGUCUAGAACAAGAAAUAGGAAAACUUUAUUGUCUUUAAAUUCUCUUAAUUCCUUUUUCUAGGCAAAGUUUAUGUAUAUUUCCUUUUGGUGUGCCACGACUAGGUGGAAGAAGUUUAAUGAAAUUGUUGCACCUCUAUUUUAAUAAUUAAUUUAUUGUUUAGUUUUGACUUAAUUUACAUUAUUUUAUUUAUUCGAUGAUUUAUAUUAUGCGAUGAUCUAUAUUUAACCAAGAUACAUGAGAACUUAAUUAGAAUAAUUCUUUUGAUUUCUUCCUCAUAAUAGCAUUGGACCAACUUAACUACCAUGUGUUUACUUUCGGUACACAGUGAUGCUAGUUAAUUGGCAUUAAAUUCUUUUAUAAUUUCUUGAGGUCUUAUCAUAAUUCUUUUAUAACCAUUCCUCUUUUCAUUCCCAAAGUGUUUUCACGCCUCCACACCAUACUCACCUUAUUCAUAAACAAACAACUUUUUCGGUUCUUCUUACUCUGAACUCUUGCAGGAUCAAAGUGAAGUUUUGGAUUCUCAAUCUCUUGAUUUAUAUAAUAUAUUUCCACCGAUCUUAGAGUCUUCUUCCAUGUUAAGGAGGUAAGGGCUUUUUCCCCAUACGUUCGUGUUAGGAAUAAGUUUAUGUUAUGAAAUAAAUAUUAGAAUAUUUAACCAUUAAAAAGGUAAUGUUAUGCAUUGUGUUUGAGUUGUUCUUUGAUGUAUGUGUGUGAUUGACUAUGAUUGAGAGUUUCUGUGAUUUAUGGGUGUGAUUGAUUGUGAAAUGGAAUAGUGUGUUAGUUUUGAUCCAAGUACUCUAGCACAAUAAAUUAUUGUUAGUUAGUUUUGAAGAUAUGUAUCAUAUAUUUGAGACAUGCAUCAUGUAGUAUGCAUGGUAGGUGCCUCCGUGGCUGAAUGGUGCCUCCGUGGCUGAACUUUGCCUUCGUGGCUGAAUUGUGCCUUCGUGGCUGAAUUUAUCCGGAUCAUGAGUCUGCAUUUUCAUGCAUAAAAAGCAUUCUUUUUGUUAAGAGAAUUUAUUAUAUAGAAUUUUAUUUAAGCAUUCUGUUUGUGUUAUUUGGCAACUCUUUAAUUAGUUAAUGACAAGACUUUCCUAUUCACUUGGGAACCCUUAUGUUUAUACAGGUGAAUGGAGGCGAAUGUCGUUGCCUGCAAUGCUUGUAGGAGAAACUCUUGGAGAAAUUUUACAGGCUAGUCAAUUUGCAAGAGAAAUUGUUUCAACUGUUGGUGACAAAACUCCCUCCAAAGAGGACCCAAAAACUCCAAUGUCUCAAAGGCCAAGCAAGAAAAUAAACCUUGAAAACACACAACUUAAGUCUAGAAGGAAGAAGGAGAAAUAAACCAAACUACAAAAUGAUGGUUCUCCUUCACUUCAAAGAGCUCGUUCCAGAAUCACUUUCAAAGUUUCUCCUCCAAAAGUUAGAGAAUUUAAUACAGAAAAUAACAAGUAUUUGUCUUAGGCGAAUAGGGUAUCUCCAAGGAAUAGGACAUGGGCUAAAAAAACUAUACUUUUCCCCAACCCUUUGUUCAAGUCAACUCAUUGUUCUUCAUCACGGUCAUAGCAGCAACAGUUUUGCAAAACAAGGUCUUCUUUUAUUUCAAGAAAUAGAGGACCAACAACACCACACAAGUUUUUGAUCAAAUUUCCACCUUCAAACUCUAAAGUUAAGAUCAAAAGCACAACAAUUGUGUCUAUUUCACCCACAAGACUUGCAAGUUUGAGUAAGAAUUCGCCAAAGAGAUCGACUGCUGCUAAAUUCCGUCGAUCUUUCUCUCCUUCGAGACUAGCUACCAGAUUAGUUUCACCAUUAAGGAGUAAGAAAACUGCCCAGAAAAGUGAUGGGAUUGUAAGUGGACUGAAACAGCACCCAGUAUCAACAAUUCAAUUCCCUGCUAAUAGAAGAAUUUAAGGACAUAUAGACUUUGAUUGUAUUUUGUCGCUAUGGUUUCCAAUGUCCAUAAUUGUUGUAUUCUUGUGAGAUUUUUUUGUUGUUGAGGACUUCUCCUUGUGUCCAUAACAUUCUUUCUUCUGUAAUAUGUUCAACAAAAAAUAUAAAGGUGUUUCUCUGAUGCAAAUCUUGUGAGCUUGCAAUGUUACCAAAUCAUAAGCAUACAUUUCAUUUGUCACAUAAACUCUAUGGACUUCAUCUCUCAAAAAAAAAAAAAAAAAAUCGAUGGAUUGCAAUUAAAAUGGUACUUUCUGCAAUAUGUAUUCUUUCACCAUACACCAUGUAUUUUUUAUUGAAAAAAAACAAUGAUAUUUUGUUGCUGCCCAGGAUCGAACUGGAGACCUUUAGUGUGUAAGACUAACGUGAUAACCACUACACCACAGCAACUUUGAUGAUAAUUUAUCCACUAUGAUAGUUUGUGACUCUUGAUCUUUUAAUUUAACUUUAUAUAUUUACAGUAUAAUGUUUUCAUUGAAGUUAUAUAGAUUAAUUAUUAUCAACAAUAUGCAUUUUUCGUCCCUUUAUUCUUGAUUUUAAUUGCCCAAUUUUUAUCUACAGUUUAAAAAUUUUAAUUAAUUAAUUAUUUUGACCAUCUAAUUUGAUGAUGUGGUAAUACAAAUUCACUCUCAACUAUUUAUCAUUUCAAUUUAUCUUCUUUUAACUUUAUAUGUUUGAUCAUGACUGAAUUUAACAUUGAAGAAUUUCAUCAAUAUUGAAGAAUCACAAUGAAAAUUCUAUCAAAUUUCUUUUUGGUACAGUUCAAAUUUUAAUAAAUUGUCGAGAAAGCAAUAUUUUUUUUUAAUAAUAAUAGUAAUAUUCAAAGAAAAUGUAAUAAUGAUUCAAAAUAUCUAAUGCCCAUUUUAUCAAAAGAAAAAAGAAAAUCUAUAUCCACGCGUAUAAGAUUCGUGGAUUAAUUUGGUCCGAAGGUGUAAAGGUUCAUCUUCUGAAUGGGUUGUUGUUGUGAUGAAGACGACGGUGACAUUCUCCGCCAUCUCAUGAAUUCUUCUUCAUCCACCUCAUCCCCACCACCACCACCUCCUCCCACUUCAACAAUAAUCUCACCAAUGAAUUCUCAUUUCUCCGCUUUAUCCUCCACCGAUACUCUCCAAAUUAUCUUCCAGAACCUUCCCAUCCCCGAUCUCGCACGUGCGAGCUGCGUGUGCCGUGUCUGGAACUCGGUUGCCUCACAAAGAGACCUGGUAACCAGAGCUUUCUUAGCACCGUGGAAAUUGAAGGACGUAGUUGGAAACCCGAUUUCUAGAAGCUUCUGGAGAGAUAAUUCGCUUGCCAAAUUUGCAAUCUCGCAUCGUAUUGUGCGUGGGGAUAGUGUUGCUAGUCUCGCCGUUAAGUACUCCGUUCAGGUCCGUUAGGGUUUUUUACUUUGUUUCAGAAAUUGAAAUGCAUAAUUUGUUGUUGUUGUUGUUGUUGUUAUUGAUAAUACACUAUGCGCCGGCUUGUGCUUUUGAAAAUGAUGACAAUGAAAUUAUGGAAUCAUCUCUGAAAUUCAAGAUUACGUUUGAAUAUAGUUCAUAUGAGAUAAUUUUAUGUAUAAAGCACCGAGACACGGACACCAGACACUACACUGAUACAGAUACAUCGUGAUGAUUUGAGAAAAUGAAUUAUGAAGCACAAAUACGGACAUGUCAAGGACACUGACACACCAACACCGCUAAUAAUCUGAGAAAAUCACAUAAUUCAGAGUAAUUAUAUGUGUUGGCGUUGUGUCAGUGUCGGACACGACCCGCGUCUGACACUGGGACACACCUAAUGCAAGAGUGUCCGUGCUUCAUAGAUUGAUGCGUCAAAAAGUAGACAUGCCUAAUCUUAGAGGUUUCUGUGCCUUACAGUCAGGACUAAAUUAAUCGUUCCUUGUUGACUACUGUGAUCAAAUAUUUUAGGGAUAUCAUUUUAAAAUGUUUUUAAUUUCAUGGACCAAAUUUCCUUAUCACUGGAAUAUCAGGUUUUAGGAUUAAAAUUGUGAUAAGCUCAAAUCAAAUUGUUAACAUCUACUUGUUUUGUAUAAUUUAGCAUUUUUCCUAUUAAGAAUUUAUAAACUAGUUGAUCUUUUAUCUGACCAUUUUUACUGUAAGCACUGAGCUAUAUUUUCAUUGUUCUGUUCCUGGUUUUUAUGUUUAAUGGUUUUGAUAAAGUUGGAUGAUAAUUUUUUUGAUGUUUUGACAGGUGAUGGACAUAAAACGAUUGAACAACAUGAUGAGCGAUCAUGGUAUAUACUCAAGGGAAAGGUUAUUAAUUCCUAUUAGUAAUCCUAAUAUUCUUGUUAAAAGAACUUGCUUUAUUGAGCUGGAUGACAAUGCAAAACGAGAAGUUGCAGUGUUGUAUCCGGAUGAUGUACCUGACAUAAAGAGUAGCUAUGUAUCAAACAGAAUAUCCUCAGAAGAAAGCAACAAAAAGGUGCUUGAUUCCUUGAAGAGAAGCAUGCAAGUUGAUAGUGAAACUGCUCAAUACUACUGGUCUGUUUCAAAUGGCGAUCCUCGAGCUGCU
rnacentral:lncRNA from 1 species